rnacentral:snoRNA from 1 species
UGUAGUAAGUAUUCAUUGCUGCCAACAGUCCUGGUUUUCUUGUGAAUUUAUUUAAGGAGCUUCAGUGUUCUCUCCUGAGCGUGAAAAGUGUGCUCGGUGCUGCUUUACUGUAGCUGCCUUGUACAGUUGAUGAUCGUUCUUCUCUUCUUCAUGGAGAGGUGGAGGGAGAGAACACAAGCUGA